GUGGGGAAUCUUCCGCAAUGGACGAAAGUCUGACGGAGCAACGCCGCGUGAGUGAAGAAGGUUUUCGGAUCGUAAAGCUCUUUCGUUAGGGACGAACGUGCUCUUUGUGAAUAAUGAGGAGUAAUGACGGUACCUAAAUAAGAAGCCACGGCUAACUACGUGCCAGCAGCCGCGGUAAUACGUAGGUGGCAAGCGUUGUCCGGAAUUAUUGGGCGUAAAGCGCGCGCAGGCGGGAUAUCAAGUCUGUCUUAAAAGUGCGAGGCUCAACCUCGUGAGGGGACAGAAACUGGUAUUCUUGAGUGUCGGAGAGGAAAGUGGAAUUCCAAGUGUAGCGGUAAAAUGCGUAGAGAUUUGGAAGAACACCAGUGGCGAAGGCGACUUUCUGGACGAUGUCUGACGCUGAGGCGCGAAAGCUAGGGGAGCGAACGGGAUUAGAAACCCUUGUAGUCC
rnacentral:rRNA from 1 species